rnacentral:rRNA from 1 species
UACGUAGGGCGCAAGCGUUAUCCGGAAUUAUUGGGCGUAAAGAGCUCGUAGGCGGUUUGUCGCGUCUGCUGUGAAAUCCCGAGGCUCAACCUCGGGCCUGCAGUGGGUACGGGCAGACUAGAGUGCGGUAGGGGAGAUUGGAAUUCCUGGUGUAGCGGUGGAAUGCGCAGAUAUCAGGAGGAACACCGAUGGCGAAGGCAGAUCUCUGGGCCGUAACUGACGCUGAGGAGCGAAAGGGUGGGGAGCAAACAGGCUUAGAUACCCUGGUAGUCCACCCCGUAAACGUUGGGAACUAGUUGUGGGGUCCAUUCCACGGAUUCCGUGACGCAGCUAACGCAUUAAGUUCCCCGCCUGGGUAGUACGGCCGCAAGGCUAAAACUCAAAGGAAUUGACGGGGACCCGCACAAGCGGCGGAGCAUGCGGAUUAAUUCGAUGCAACGCGAAGAACCUUACCAAGGCUUGACAUAUACGAGAACGGGCCAGAAAUGGUCAACUCUUUGGACACUCGUAAACAGGUGGUGCAUGGUUGUCGUCAGCUCGUGUCGUGAGAUGUUGGGUUAAGUCCCGCAACGAGCGCAACCCUCGUUCUAUGUUGCCAGCACGUAAUGGUGGGAACUCAUGGGAUACUGCCGGGGUCAACUCGGAGGAAGGUGGGGAUGACGUCAAAUCAUCAUGCCCCUUAUGUCUUGGGCUUCACGCAUGCUACAAUGGCCGGUACAAAGGGCUGCAAUACCGUGAGGUGGAGCGAAUCCCAAAAAGCCGGUCCCAGUUCGGAUUGAGGUCUGCAACUCGACCUCAUGAAGUCGGAGUCGCUAGUAAUCGCAGAUCAGCAACGCUGCGGUGAUACGUUCCCGGUCUUGCAC